rnacentral:rRNA from 1 species
CAGCCUGCCCAGUGACUACAAGUUCAACGGCCGCGGUAUUUUAACCGUGCUAAGGUAGCGCAAUCACUUGUCUUUUAAAUAAAGACCUGUAUGAAUGGCUAAACGAGGGCUUAGCUGUCUCCCUUCUCAAGUCAGUGAAAUUGAUCUAUCCGUGCAGAAGCGGGUAUAAUAAUACAAGACGAGAAGACCCUUUGGAGCUUAAGGCAUAAGACUCACCCACGUAAAGCAACUUAAUAAAAAGUAAUUUUUAAACCUUGUGGCAGAUGAGACAUUCGGUUGGGGCGACCAUGGAGAAAAAGAAAGCCUCCAAGUGGAAUGGGGUAAUACCCUAAAACCAAGAGAGACAUCUCUAAGCUACAAAACAUUUGACCAUUAAUGAUCCGGUUAGUCAUGACCGAUCAACGAACCAAGUUACCCUAGGGAUAACAGCGCAAUCCUCUCCUAGAGCCCAUAUCGACGAGGGGGUUUACGACCUCGAUGUUGGAUCAGGACAUCCUAAUGGCGCAGCCGUUAUUAAGGAGGGG